UUUAGUCGUUAACAGGUAGCCGUAUCGGAAGGUGCGGCUGGAUCACCUCCUUUUGAGCAUGACGUCAUCGUCCUGUCGGGCGUCCUCACAAAUUACCUGCAUUCAGAGAUGCGUAUCGGCACAGGCCGGUAUGCGAAAGUCCCAUCAUGGGGCCUUAGCUCAGCUGGGAGAGCACCUGCUUUGCAAGCAGGGGGUCGUCGGUUCGAUCCCGACAGGCUCCACCAUUUGAGUGAAACGACUUUGGGUCUGUAGCUCAGGUGGUUAGAGCGCACCCCUGAUAAGGGUGAGGUCGGUGGUUCGAGUCCUCCCAGACCCACCACUCUGAAUGUAGUGCACACUUAAGAAUUUAUAUGGAUCAGCGUUGAGGCUGAGACAUGUUCUUUUAUAACUUGUGACGUAGCGAGCGUUUGAGAUAUCUAUCUAAACGUGUCGUUGAGGCUAAGGCGGGGACUUCGAGUCCCUAAAUAAUUGAGUCGUAUGUUCGCGUUGGUGGCUUUGUACCCCACACAACACGACAUAUGAUCCUGAGGCAACUUGGGGUUAUAUGGUCAAGCGAAUAAGCGCACACGGUGGUCCCCUUGGCACA
rnacentral:tRNA from 1 species